CGGGCGGGUGCUAUACAUGCAGUCGAGCGAACAGACGAGGAGCUUGCUCCUCUGACGUUAGCGGCGGACGGGUGAGUAACACGUGGAUAACCUACCUAUAAGACUGGGAUAACUUCGGGAAACCGGAGCUAAUACCGGAUAAUAUAUUGAACCGCAUGGUUCAAUAGUGAAAGACGGUUUUGCUGUCACUUAUAGAUGGAUCCGCGCCGCAUUAGCUAGUUGGUAAGGUAACGGCUUACCAAGGCAACGAUGCGUAGCCGACCUGAGAGGGUGAUCGGCCACACUGGAACUGAGACACGGUCCAGACUCCUACGGGAGGCAGCAGUAGGGAAUCUUCCGCAAUGGGCGAAAGCCUGACGGAGCAACGCCGCGUGAGUGAUGAAGGUCUUCGGAUCGUAAAACUCUGUUAUUAGGGAAGAACAAAUGUGUAAGUAACUAUGCACGUCUUGACGGUACCUAAUCAGAAAGCCACGGCUAACUACGUGCCAGCAGCCGCGGUAAUACGUAGGUGGCAAGCGUUAUCCGGAAUUAUUGGGCGUAAAGCGCGCGUAGGCGGUUUUUUAAGUCUGAUGUGAAAGCCCACGGCUCAACCGUGGAGGGUCAUUGGAAACUGGAAAACUUGAGUGCAGAAGAGGAAAGUGGAAUUCCAUGUGUAGCGGUGAAAUGCGCAGAGAUAUGGAGGAACACCAGUGGCGAAGGCGACUUUCUGGUCUGUAACUGACGCUGAUGUGCGAAAGCGUGGGGAUCAAACAGGAUUAGAUACCCUGGUAGUCCACGCCGUAAACGAUGAGUGCUAAGUGUUAGGGGGUUUCCGCCCCUUAGUGCUGCAGCUAACGCAUUAAGCACUCCGCCUGGGGAGUACGACCGCAAGGUUGAAACUCAAAGGAAUUGACGGGGACCCGCACAAGCGGUGGAGCAUGUGGUUUAAUUCGAAGCAACGCGAAGAACCUUACCAAAUCUUGACAUCCUCUGACCCCUCUAGAGAUAGAGUUUUCCCCUUCGGGGGACAGAGUGACAGGUGGUGCAUGGUUGUCGU
rnacentral:rRNA from 1 species